UACGAAGGGGGCUAGCGUUGCUCGGAUUGACUGGGCGUAAAGGGCGCGUAGGCGGUUUGCAUAGUCAGACGUGAAAUUCCUGGGCUUAACCUGGGGGCUGCGUUUGAUACAUGCAGGCUUGAGUUCGGAAGAGGGUCGUGGAAUUCCCAGUGUAGAGGUGAAAUUCGUAGAUAUUGGGAAGAACACCGGUGGCGAAGGCGGCGACCUGGUCCGAUACUGACGCUGAGGUGCGAAAGCGUGGGGAGCAAACAGG
rnacentral:rRNA from 1 species